UUGAACGCUGGCGGCAGGCCUAACACCUGCAAGUCGAGCGGAUGAAGGGAGCUUGCUCCUGGAUUCAGCGGCGGACGGGUGAGUAAUGCCUAGGAAUCUGCCUGGUAGUGGGGGAUAACGUCCGGAAACGGGCGCUAAUACCGCAUACGUCCUGAGGGAGAAAGUGGGGGAUCUUCGGACCUCACGCUAUCAGAUGAGCCUAGGUCGGAUUAGCUAGUUGGUGGGGUAAAGGCCUACCAAGGCGACGAUCCGUAACUGGUCUGAGAGGAUGAUCAGUCACACUGGAACUGAGACACGGUCCAGACUCCUACGGGAGGCAGCAGUGGGGAAUAUUGGACAAUGGGCGAAAGCCUGAUCCAGCCAUGCCGCGUGUGUGAAGAAGGUCUUCGGAUUGUAAAGCACUUUAAGUUGGGAGGAAGGGCAGUAAGUUAAUACCUUGCUGUUCUGACGUUACCAACAGAAUAAGCACCGGCUAACUUCGUG
rnacentral:rRNA from 1 species